GAUGAACGCUGGCGGCGUGCCUAAUACAUGCAAGUCGAGCGAACAGAUGAGGAGCUUGCUCCUCUGACGUUAGCGGCGGACGGGUGAGUAACACGUGGAUAACCUACCUAUAAGACUGGGAUAACUUCGGGAAACCGGAGCUAAUACCGGAUAAUAUAUUGAACCGCAUGGUUCAAUAGUGAAAGACGGUUUUGCUGUCACUUAUAGAUGGAUCCGCGCCGCAUUAGCUAGUUGGUAAGGUAACGGCUUACCAAGGCAACGAUGCGUAGCCGACCUGAGAGGGUGAUCGGCCACACUGGAACUGAGACACGGUCCAGACUCCUACGGGAGGCCGCAGUAGGGAAUCUUCCGCAAUGGGCGAAAGCCUGACGGAGCACCGCCGCGUGAGUGAUGAAGGUCUUCGGAUCGUAAAACUCUGUUAUUAGGGAAGAACAAAUGUGUAAGUAACUAUGCACGUCUUGACGGUACCUAAUCAGAAAGCCACGGCUAACUACGUG
rnacentral:rRNA from 1 species